GACGAACGCUGGCGGCGUGCCUAAUACAUGCAAGUCGAGCGGACGGAUGGGAGCUUGCUCCCAGACCGUCAGCGGCGGACGGGUGAGUAACACGUGGGCAACCUGCCUGUAAGACUGGGAUAACUCCGGGAAACCGGGGCUAAUACCGGAUAACUCUUUCCCUCACAUGAGGGAAAGCUGAAAGAUGGCAUCUCGCUAUUACUUACAGAUGGGCCCGCGGCGCAUUAGCGAGUUGGUGAGGUAACGGCUCACCAAGGCGACGAUGCGUAGCCGACCUGAGAGGGUGAUCGGCCACACGGGGACUGAGACACGGCCCAGACUCCUACGGGAGGCAGCAGUAGGGAAUCUUCGGCAAUGGACGAAAGUCUGACGGAGCGGCGCCGCGUGAGUGAUGAAGGUGUUCGGAUCGUAAAACUCUGUUGUCAGGGAAGAACAAGUACCGGAGUAACCGCCGGUACCUUGACGGUACCUGACCAGAAAGCCACGGCUAACUACGUG
rnacentral:rRNA from 1 species